CUGCCAUCUGUUGGAGGAUUAUGGUUUGAGUCCCCUCUCCGCGUUUGGCAGGAAUGAAUGAGUUCUGGCUUAGGCUGCAGAGUUCCUAGUAAUGAAGUCUUAACUCAUUUGGCUUCCCCUUUGCCUCCCUCUUUUCUCCCCCUCCCCCAGAAUCACAGCUCUUGUGCCUUCAGGAAAAAUUGAUCAGGUCAAACUUCCCAAUAGCCCAGUCCAAUGCAUGCUUACUCAGCGAAGUCCUAUGUUCAAGGAGGCUAACUCUCAGGUAAUGUGUAUAGGAUUGUAGUCUUACUCUUGUUGUGGGAGGGUUCACAUUAUGCUAAAUUUCUGCUUGUUAUGUACCUAUUUCUGUUCAUUUCUAGCUGCUCAGUGCUGCUGCUGUAUUGCUUUAAAUUUAAUAUUAAUAGAAUUUAUAUAGCCACCAAUUUUAUAUUUCUGUAGCCUUGUGGGCAGGAUGGCAUAUCUCAACAUUUGCAGGCAGUUGUAAAAGGAUAUUAUGAGGCAUUUGUUGUUGCAUAUAAAAACUUGGCAAAUAAUAGUACAGGGGAAGAGAUGGGUUAGGAUUCAGAUGUACAGUAUUGACCCCAACCAAUGUGUGGGAGGGAAGAAAUUGGAUACUUGUCAAUGGAUCAAUAGGAUCUGCUUCGGGGGGGGGGGGCAUCAAAUAUAUCUUCUACAAAAUCAAUGACUAAAUACAUUUUUUCUGCCUGCUGUCGCCCUACUGGAUUCAACGAGGCUUUUGUAGGAUUGCAGUAUUAUAAGGUCUUCCUUCAUCCUUAUGGAAAGGCAUGUGGGAGUUAUAUGUUAAUCUAAGAUCCUGCAAAUUAAUAGUCUUUGAGGUUCCAUAAGUGACUUUUAUUCUUUUUUUUGCAACAUAUAGACUCUAUUUCAAGUUGAAGGAGAGGGUAAACUUUAUUCUGGUGGUUUGCUUUUGAUAUGUGUGUUUUCAUCUAUCUCACAGUGCAAUCCUACAUACAGGUCUAUUCAGAAGUAGGUGCUUAAAGGUAGGUGCUUAUAAUAUAACAGAUUAAGUUACCUCUCAUUCGUACUGUUGACAAAAAAAUUUAAAAGCUUUUAUACAACUUCAGUGCUUCGGUGACUACUGCUUCAAGGGAAGAGGAUGGUGAGGAAGCAGGACUUCUUUGGCCCCAAAGCAGCCACCAGCAGGUCCCUAAGUCACCAGCUGUCAUUUGAUCAAUAACCUCUCCCCCACCUCUUUUUGGAACACCCUUUUUGGCCACCACCACAGAGCAUGUUUCUGUCCUCAAAAUAGCUUCACUGCCACACUGAAGCAUCUCUGGUGGUGGACCUGCGUGGAGAGGGAGAUGCAGAGAAUCCAACAGCUCCUGAAAACCCUUUCCAGGAGCUAAAGAUUGCUCUCUCAUAAGCUCUAGAUUUUGUUCCAAUAUUUUAACUCUUGUCCUGUUCUCUUACACAAUUAAAGGUACCCCUGCCCGUACGGGCCAGUCGUGUCCGACUCUAGGGUUGUGCGCCCAUCUCACUUAAGAGGCCGGGGGCCAGCGCUGUCCGGAGACACUUCCGGGUCACGUGGCCAGCGUGACGAAGCUGCUCUGGCGAGCCGGCACCAGCGCCGCACACGGAAACACCGUUUACCUUCCCGCUAGAAAACGGUCCCUAUUUAUCUACUUGCACUUAAGAGUGCUUUCGAACUGCUAGGUGGGCAGGAGCUGGGACCGAACGACGGGAGCUCACCCCGCCACGGGGAUUCGAACCGCCGACCAUGCGAUCGGCAAGCCCUAGGCGUUGAGGUUUUACCCACAGCACCACCCGCGUCCCCUUAUACAAUUACCAUAGCAAAAAAGGCUGGUCUGUGUACAUAAAAAUGUCUUUAUUUACAUCCAUGAAUAAGCAUGCUACUCUGCUACAUUGAAAGGAAUUAAUGCUUAGCAAAUAAAUGUCACAGUUGCCAAAAUUCUGGACUUCCUUCUCUGGAUCUGCAGUAAUGAGAUACUGAAGAACUCUUUGGGGAAAAAAUAAGAAUCGAUCUUUUUAAACUACAGAUAAGCAAAAUCAAUUAUUAAAUAGUAAUACCAUAGCAGGCAAUUGAUCAAAUAUUGUUAAAUACUAAAUAUAUUUACAUAUCACUUAUAAUGAAUUGAUCGCAUAUCAACACAGUUCUUGUGGGGUAUAAUGACCGCAUCAUAGUUUCCAAGUCCAUUCUGUGCCAGUGUGUGUGUCUGCUGAAAACGUGUGGCAAGAUGCUUAACAGGUUCUGUGUGCUGCUGAGUAUGAGGCAUUAUGGUUCAUAUUUUAUCUUUUGUUCCAAAUGACGUUAGUGCUUUCUGUAGAUGCUGAACAUUUUAAGCUGGGUCUAAGGUUUUGAACUCCAAAUUGAUGAAGUUGCUAAGUGGUUUAGCUAAAGCCUCUCGAGCUCUAAGUGCCAUCUCUGUAAGAUGUUCAUUUGUCUAGCUGUCCCCAGUAAAAGCAACGAUCAAUAGGGUCUUGUGGCUUGGAAAGCCUAUCUCUGGCUUCUCCCAACAAAGAACAGAGCACAGCCCCAGUGUGCACGUGAAGGUAGCCUCAGAAUGUCUUCCUCAUUUACUCCGACAUUUUCUCAGGAUGCAGGUGUUCAUGACAGCAGAGAAGGGAAAACUGGGACAUGGAGUUGAAUAUUUC
rnacentral:lncRNA from 1 species